UACAGAGGGUGCGAGCGUUGUCCGGAAUCACUGGGCGUAAAGGGCGCGUAGGCGGUCUGGUAAGCGUGUGGUGAAAGCCCGGGGCUCAACCCCGGGUCGGCCGUGCGAACUGCUGGACUGGAGCAGAUCAGAGGCAGGCGGAAUUCCGGGUGUAGCGGUGAAAUGCGCAGAUAUCAGGAGGAACACCGAUGGCGAAGGCAGCUCGCUGGGACGGUACUGACGCUGAGGCGCGAAAGCGUGGGGAGCAAACAGG
rnacentral:rRNA from 1 species